rnacentral:rRNA from 1 species
UACGUAGGCAGCAAGCGUUGUUCGGAGUUACUGGGCGUAAAGAGUCUGUAGGCGGUGCUCUAAGUUUGGUGUGAAAUCUCCCGGCUUAACCGGGAGGGUGCGCCGAAGACUGGGGUGCUGGAGUCUGGGAGAGGAAAGCGGAAUUCCUAGUGUAGCGGUGAAAUGCGUAGAUAUCAGGAGGAACACCGGUGGUGUAGACGGCUUUCUGGACCAGUACUGACGCUGAGAGACGAAAGCGUGGGGAGCAAACAGG